rnacentral:lncRNA from 1 species
AAUUUAAAAUUGAAAAUGAAAUUAAACACGCCAGCUUCGCUAUUAAGCUCAAACAGGUUUAGGUGAUAAUCCACCGUGGGCCACCGCGCCAGAAAUCGCCUCCAACGGCGGUGGCCACCAAAAACAAAAAUUGAAGCCAUUGUCUUGUUCAUCUCAUCAAGCUCUUUCCAUUUCCUAAAAUUCUAACUCUAAACCUCCAACCGAACCGAUUUUAAUCAAGAACCCUAACCAACUAAAUCCUAAAUUAAAUCCUUAAACGGAGGAAUCAAAGCCUAUAGUCUCAGGGCUUUGAUUCUUUAUCUCAAAACCUAUACAGUGGUAACAAAUAUGAAGGCAAAGCAUAGGGAAAAUUGAACCUACCGUAGUGCUUGCAACAGAGAUGACGAAUGAAGAUUAAAGAUGCUCAAGUAUGAAAUCUUUGCUCUGAAUCUCCUUUUCUUUUUCUUUUUCGUUCUUCUGCCUCUGUUGAAUUAUGGAAUUUUGAUGCGUGAGGUGAUAUAGAUGUGAGGAUUGAAAGUGAGGGACAAGAGUGUUGAGGUGUUGAUGAAUGUUCAGUGAUGAAGGAGAAUGAUGAUGAUUGAAAGAGCUCGACUGAGGUUGAAGAAUGAUUGAGAUUGGGAAAAUCAAGACUUCAGGUGAAUGUGAAAAAACUGAUUGGAAAUUGGAAACAAAAUUGGGUCCUGUUAGAGAGUGAUAUUCAUUGCU